GACCACUGCUUUUGGCUGGAGAAGUUUGUCGAGAAAGAUCCCAACAAGAUUCUUGUAACUUCUGGGAGCCAUGCUUUAAUUCCAUGCCUUUGUUAGGCAGACCAUCACUGGACAUGAGGCAGCGCCCAGCCUCCUGAGCACUGGGGUCAUGAUGAGGAAAUGGAGGCAGAGUUCACAAUGCUCCUAUGCAGCAGGGCCAAGGGCCCAGCAUGGCCACCCCCAUGGGCCAUGUUCUUAACAUCAGACUGCUCAGAGGCUCUUCUACACAGUCAGUACAGAUGCCACUUGUCCCACCAAUGGUGGGCCUUGAAAGCACGUGGCCACCAACAAUACUUCUGGGUAAAAAUUUGAACCAAUGACAAAAUGGCAAAAGACAAGAAACAAGGAAAAGAACUGGAAAAGAGACUGGCUACCAGUCAAACAAACAAAACAAAACAAUAAACCCUAAAAAACACAAUAAAUAACUACUGAUUGGUAGAACCAUUCUGUGACAGGUAACUUUUAUGUCAUUCUCUAAGAAAGCUUACACACACUGGGAUCUA